CCGCGGUAAUACGGAGGGUGCAAGCGUUAAUCGGAAUUACUGGGCGUAAAGCGCACGCAGGCGGUCUGUCAAGUCGGAUGUGAAAUCCCCGGGCUCAACCUGGGAACUGCAUUCGAAACUGGCAGGCUAGAGUCUUGUAGAGGGGGGUAGAAUUCCAGGUGUAGCGGUGAAAUGCGUAGAGAUCUGGAGGAAUACCGGUGGCGAAGGCGGCCCCCUGGACAAAGACUGACGCUCAGGUGCGAAAGCGUGGGGAGCAAACAGGAUUA
rnacentral:rRNA from 1 species